rnacentral:rRNA from 1 species
GGGGGGGGGGGGGGGGGGGGGUGGGAGGGGGAGGUCGGGGGGGGGGGCGCGGCUUUGGGGGGGUGCGCGGGUGGCGGACGGGUGGGUAACGCGUGGGUAACCUUCCCUUGACUUUGGGAUAACUUCAGGCAACUGGGGCUAAUACCGGAGAGGAGCUCCUGCUUCAUGGUGGGGGUUGGUAAGUUUCGGCGGGUGGGGAUGGACGCGCGGUUUAUCCGCUGUUGGGUGGGGAAGUGGCUUACCAAGGCUUUGACGGGUAGCCGGCCUGAGGGGGUGGACGGCCACAUUGGGACUGAGAUGCGGCCCAGACUCCUACGGGAGGCAGCAGUGGGGAAUAUUGCCCAAUGGGCUGAAGCCUGAGGCAGCAACGCCGCGUGCGGGAUGACGGCCUUCGGGUUGUAAACCGCUUUCGCCUUUGACGAAGCGUGAGUGACGGUAAUGGGUAAAGAAGCACCGGCUAACUACGUG